AUAUAUGUAGAUGCCGAUAUGCUGCAUGACGAAUAAUAAUACGAAAUAAAAGGUUCGUCUGGAGCCGAGUCGAAUGAUGUCUAAUGGACUGCAAUUGAUUAUGUCUGUCUAUAAUGAUGAAGCAGCUCGACCAAACAAUAAUGGCACGGCCAAAGUUAAGGGUAAUGACGGCGUACCGAAAACCCCCACCCAGCCCGCACAGCCACCCAACCCGCCCAUCCACCUAUUUGGCAAUAAGUUGUUAAUGGCUCUGUGGCACAAGUGGACGAUCCUUUUGUCGCUGACAGCCGAAGCAAUUUGGUCGAACGUUGCCAGCAGUGACCAAGCUAUCUUUCCACGAACUGUGAAUCACGAACAGACGCUAGAAGGAUAUUCCCCGAGAGGCUGGCACCAGUCGACCAGCGACGCAAACAAAAGUUUUUCAAUUAAAAACGUUAAAUAGCCACAAGCACUUAGCAAUAAAUUCCUGCUGCGUAUGGAGUGGAGUCGACAAUAAAACACCUAAUGAAACGCCAUUGCCUAAAAACAACAAUAAUUAUAAGUCGAAAUUGAAAAACAUAGACGUACUU